rnacentral:rRNA from 1 species
CAGCAGCCGCGGGAAUACAGAGGGUGCGAGCGUUAAUCGGAUUUACUGGGCGUAAAGCGUGCGUAGGCGGCUUCUUAAGUCGGAUGUGAAAUCCCUGAGCUUAACUUAGGAAUUGCAUUCGAUACUGGGAAGCUAGAGUAUGGGAGAGGAUGGUAGAAUUCCAGGUGUAGCGGUGAAAUGCGUAAAGAUCUGGAGGAAUACCGAUGGCGAAGGCAGCCAUCUGGCCUAAUACUGACGCUGAGGUACGAAAGCAUGGGGAGCAAACAGGAUUAGAGACCCCCGUAGUCCCUGUCUCUUAUAC